AAUAUUGGACAAUGGGCGCAAGCCUGAUCCAGCCAUGCCGCGUGUGUGAAGAAGGCCUUCGGGUUGUAAAGCACUUUUGUGCGGGAAGAUAAUGACGGUACCGCAAGAAUAAGCCCCGGCUAACUUCGUGCCAGCAGCCGCGGUAAUACGAAGGGGGCUAGCGUUGCUCGGAAUCACUGGGCGUAAAGGGUGCGUAGGCGGAUCUUUAAGUCAGGGGUGAAAUCCCGGGGCUCAACCCCGGAACUGCCUUUGAUACUGGGGAUCUUGAGUUCGGGAGAGGUGAGUGGAACUGCGAGUGUAGAGGUGAAAUUCGUAGAUAUUCGCAAGAACACCAGUGGCGAAGGCGGCUCACUGGCCCGAUACUGACGCUGAGGCACGAAAGCGUGGGGAGCAAA
rnacentral:rRNA from 1 species